rnacentral:misc_RNA from 1 species
GGGCAAAAAUAUGCACAUGAACAAGCAGAUCCAACAAUGAAGAGAAUCAGAAAUCUUGGUAUCAGAAAAGCAGGACGCAGAAUGUAUAUAGAAGGAAAUACUGGAAAGUGUAGAAAAAUCUCGAAGCAACAAUGAUGAAAGGUGAAGAAGUAAAUGAAAGCUUAUAAAAAGAUAAAAGUUGAAGGUUAAUAUUUAUAAUACCAGAACGUAGACAAAGAAAUAUG